AAUUAUAUAGCUCAGUGGUAGAGUGCUUACCUAGUGUGUGCAAAGGCCUAGGUUCAAUCUAGAAUAAUGG
rnacentral:tRNA from 1 species